rnacentral:misc_RNA from 1 species
CCAAGAGUUGUCAAGUUAUAUGAGCGACAUUGAAAUUGAGUAUGAGCAGGAUAUGACUGAGCAAAUUUCUAUCUCCGAUCUUCCUGUCUCGAUACAAAUGAUUGGCACUGAUGACCAUGAUACACCACAAGACUCAGCACCCCAACUUGAGCCUACAGAAUCAGAGCCCAGGCCUCGCCGUUCUAGACACAGGCCUAGAGUUCAUGCUAGACAUAGGUCCUUGUUGACGCAACAAGUAGAAGAGUCCCUGGAUGAGUCACGAGCUGCAUUUGUUAGGCUUGAGGAAGCAAAGCUUGCAGCCCAAACUAAACAAAUGGAGAUAGAAAUAAAAAAGGUAGAGGCAUUGCAGCAAAUAGCACUAGCUAUAAAUAAGCUAGCAGAUGCAGUGUCGUCUACAUUUGAUCCUGCAGGCUCCUCUACACUACAGCAUGGACAUCAUACUCAAAAAGUAAGAAUCUUUUUUUGUAUAACCGCCUUUACAUAUUCUUUGAUUUUAUUUUAAUUAUUAUAAUAUAUCAUCAAACAUGUUGCCGGUUUUUUUAAUCAUAACUUUUUUUUCAGAGUCCUCGAAUUUCUUCGAGGGAUGAGAGUGACCAUUAGUAGUGACUAGAAGGCGUAAUGAAAGACGGUCCACGAGCGAUUGUUGGACUGCCCUGCCUUCUGAAAGUUCCUGAUUGAUUUGAUGCCUGUUGCUGUCAGUCCUUGCUUCAAG